ensembl:lncRNA
UAUUUUUUUAACUUUCUGAGAACAGAACUGAAAGUGUCACCUUUUCUGUGAAAGUUUAUUUUUAGGUUGAGGUUCUGAGAACGUUUUACUAUGGUUCCAGGGAGGUUCUGAGAACGUUUUACUAUGGUUCCAGGGAGGUUCUGAGAAUGUUUUACUAUGGUUCCGGGGUGGUUCUGAGAAUGUUUUGCUAUGGUUCCAGAGAGGUUCUGAGAAUGUUUUACUAUGGUUCCAGGGAGGUUCUGAGAAUGUUUUACUAUGGUUCCGGGGAGGUUCUGAGAAUGUUUUCCUGGGAGGUUUUAUUCACGGUCUGAGAACAGAA